ACUUUUAUAGGAUAGGAGCAAUCCAUUGGUCUUAGGAACCAAAAAAUCGGUGCAACUCCGAAUGAAAGUA
rnacentral:tRNA from 1 species